rnacentral:lncRNA from 1 species
GUGGCUCUGCCGUGAGCGGUGGUUGGCGCCAGAAAAAGAUGGGCUUUCAGCCCCGUUCCCGAAUCCUUUUAAAGACCCGACUCUCUGGACCCAAGAGGCUGAAAAAGGAGGGGUCUUUCGUACCCUUUUCAGUUCGAUUCCAACAUUGAAGAAGGUUUCCAGUGACGGGCUUUCAAAACCCGAAACCGGUAAGUACUCCUUUUCCUUUCCUUUUUCGUUUUGUUACAAAUGAGUUGUAAAAAAAAACAAAUACAAAAAAAUAAUAAAAUAAAAUAAGAAAAACACAAGAACAGGAAAAUAGAAGCACUGGAGUCAACCUUUUUCUUAAAGCUUUUUGAUCUGCUUUUCAUUAACCAGUUGUAAAAGAAGAAGCCAAAUACAAAAAUGGUGUUUGGCUUUUAUAGCCGAUCUGUUUCUAUUUUUUCCUAUUAUUUUUGCUGCUUGCAUGUUCUCUUCUAUUUUGCAGGGUUGCUGGAGCAGGUGGGCAGAGGGUAGGUGCGGCACUGGACGUGACGGUGGCGUAGAAGUCCGAGGGUCAGAAGACCCUAGGUACGAUGCCUAGGGUUCUUUUGUUUUCUGCUAGGAUUUUUUCUUGUUUUGGGUUUCGGGCUGAGGUAUUGGGUAGUUGGGCUUUGUUGUAAUGGGUUGUUUGGGUUGGUUAUUGGGUAGGUUUUUGAGUGUUUUAUUUGUAAUGGGCCCCGGGCAAAAUGGGCUUGUACAGGCAUCAUUUAUCAAGUUAGCCGUCAAGUAGUAAGUAUGGAAGGAUUAAUUAAUUAAGUGGGGCUAGGCUAUAGUCUAAUUUAAAAAGAAUAGGCUUGAGUCCUAACUCAGCCCGACACACCCAAAUAACUCACUCUACUAUUUUAAAAAAUAAAAUAUCUAAUAUUAAUUUUUUUAUAUUAUAUGCUUAAAUUUAAAUAAAAAUAUAUUUCAAAUUAUUCAAUUUAAAUUCGGACAGAACCAGAUUCAAAGACAAAAUAUCAUUGCCAAAACUCAGGCCGAGCCGGAUGGACCGAUCUAAUCACGUAGCCCAUAAACAAGUUGAAUUCAAACGCGAUAUAGCCCGGUCUGAGCUGGGCCUACCCAACAGGGCGGAUGAGAGGUCAAUUCAAAUUUCUUUUUCAAAGAAGUCAGUUCAAAAUUUAUAUUGUUAUUUAUAACAUUUUUAAUUUUAAAAGUGUCUAAAGUAGCCUGUUAUCCAAUGCGGCGAGGACCACAUCACUAUAAUGCAACCCCCUGCGCAUAUAUUAACGCAAAAGAGAAAAACCGUCAGUUUUUUUGUUUUCGUUUUAUUUUUCCUUCCCAAUUUUGCUCCGCCACAAUGCCAACUCAUCUCUUCUCUCCACCUAGGGUUUCCAUUUCCGCCAUUGCAGCUCUUUCCUGAACUUUUAGUUUCACUCACAUUGCAUCGGGAUCAGCGCAUUGUUUUGAGAACUAAUUCCAAUUUUUUUUAAUUUUCUCCGCAAUUUUAGGGUUUUUUUCCCAAAAUAUUUAUGGUGUAGAUCGAGGUGAGUCUUUAUUCUUUAUUCUUUAUCAUUUUCAUUUUCUAUUUUUAUAGGGUUUUUUUAUUUUUUUUAAAAAAUUAAUUUUUUUUAUCGAGCUAUAAUUUCUUGUAUUUUCUUUAUUCUGGAUUGCAUGACUGCGUAAGAUUUUUUUUUUUGUAUAUGUGAAUUUACAAUGUAUAUAAUUUUUCCUCGUUUUUAGUUUAAAUUUUGUUUAAUCACAUUUUUUUUACAUUUGAGUUUCCUUUAAUUAUUUAAAUUUUAUUUCUUUUAUGAAAAGGAAAUGGUUAAUAAUAUACAAUUUUACAAACAUGAUAGUUAUCAAAAUUUUUAACUCCUGGAAUUGCCAGCAUUUAUUGAAAAACAAUAAAUUUUAAACGCGUGGAAUUAUUAUUAGUAUUAGUAUUUUGAUGCUAUUAAUUAUGAGCUAUACAUUGCUGUAGUAACAUUGUGGUGAUUUUAUCUGCAUUGCUCAUUGCAGUGUAUAGAUUCGGAGCUAGCUUUGUGUCUCAAUGGUAUGCUCACUGGGAAGUGGUAGAAUGGCGGUUAUGGCUAGGCUUCUUGAAGCAGGAAGCAUCUCGCCGAGUAUAGCAGGUACACUAUUAUUACUCGGCAUGAAAUAUCAGAAUGUGUAUGCUUCCAAUAUGUUACUUCAAUUCGGGUGUGAAAGAUAGAGUAUGUGACUGGCACGUGUAUGCCUUUUCUUAACAAGUUUCCUUGUAUUUAGAGCGUCUUGGGAUUAUAUCCUCACAUCCACGUCCAUAUGUGUCCAACAGGGGUAUUUCAAGAAAAAUGAAGAGUUGAAGCAACGCAUAUUGUUUUGAUAUCCUAUGUGUUAUGCAAAUUUUAAUAAUUUGCACUCCUUGGUUGCAUGGCCAAAUUGAAAUGGUGUGGUCUAAUUUUGUGAGCAAUCAGUAAUUAGUUACUAGGAAGUGAAAUAGAACGUUGCAAAUGAAGUGACAUAAGAGAAAUGAUUAAAGAAAAAUCUCAAUUUUGCAUCACCGUUUCUUACUUUUAUUCUUUUAUAUUGUACAUGACUGUCAUGUUCUGAAUGCUUUAAGGGUAUGUUGUGUCAUACAAUUGGUCUCUUCUUUUUGAGAAACUCUGUAAUUAUUCUUUCUUUUUGAGAAGGUCUCUGUAAUUAUUAUAGUGAAGUUAGUGGUAGCUCUGCUCCACCACAAAAAGAGAACCCACAACUUCUGUUUCUCCAUGAAUAUUUUGCACUUUUGAUCCAUUUACUAGAUCUUUUUUAUUUGUUUUUGUUCUCUCUCUCUUUGUCUUAUUCAAGCAUGAAAAUAGAUGUGUAAAGCGCUUGAUUCGCUUUUAAAAUAGUUAAAACAAAAGAAGCAUGCUGUCAAAUUUAUGUAACCGCACCUUAAACUUGACCAUUGUUGCUUGCACUCGGAGGAUGAGUUAUCAAAUUUAGGUCUUACUGUUCAAAUGAAUUGGAUAUGUCGGUCCAAUUUAUUAAACAACAUGGUAUUGACAUUGUCCUUGCUGUUGGCAGAGGAGGUUGGCAAUAAAAAAUUAGCUGCUCAAUUGCAGGAGGCAGAUGAGGCAAAUUUACUUGAUGAAGAAGGUGAUGCUGUGCGGACUAAUGUUUGUUUUAUUGGUUUUUCAAUUUAAUGAUGUUUCUCUUGCACCAAAUUAUAUGGGCCAUGCUGUGUUCAUUGUUUAUGAUGGCACGUUGAUUUUUCUCACAGAUAUGCAUGUCUUUGGCUUGAAGCCCAUGACUGAUCCUUUAAAUUUGGUGAGUUAUCUGAGCUAUAAAAUCUCAGUUCUCUUUGACAUCAUGUAUAAAACUCUUUCAUCUAAAGAGUUGUUUCUGUUAAUGUCUCUCUGAUCUAUAACUAUGAUACCUUUGCCUAUUAAGGCUCCCUCUAUAUGGUUUGGAUUGCUGAUGUAUAAUCUUAAAUAAAAAAGAAAUUCAACAUUUGAGUCCUACAUGGGGUUUUACAAAUGUAUGGUUAAUUAAAUGCCACCUAGAGUUUAACUUUUUUGCUUGAGAAUACUCACCAAGUGGCUUGCCUUUUACAUUCUUAGUUACCAAAAUUUCUUUGUAGCAUCCAAAGUGUGUUUUAUUUGUUUUUAGUUUUAAGGUUGUGUCUUCACCAAGGUAGAAAUUUAUUCUUUAUACAGUCAGUUCGUUGGUUUUUACAUAAGUUGUUUUUGUGCACACCAAAUUUUUUUUCUGUCGCGUAAUUGUUUAAUAUAAUCAUGAAGGUAUGUUGUAAUGCUUGUAAGAAGCCGGUCAAGGCCAGUCAAUAUGCUGCUCAUGCAGGUAUGGAGGCAUUUUACUUUUGUAACCAACUUUUCCCAAUUUUUCAUUAUGAUUAAUUCAAACACAGUUAAGGCGCUUAAAAUGUUUUUGCACUAUUUGAAUCCUGUUGCUAAAAUUGAAGUUAAGACUAGUUUAUUAUUAUCAUCUAUAAUUUUGAUAAACAUUUAUCCGCAUUUAAUGUAAUUUCCGUUGUCAGUCAAUUGCUAUUGUUCUCAAUGGUCUUUCUAUAAGCAGUAUGAAUUAGGGAUUUAUGGUCAUUUUGUCUACAUUGUUUCUCUAGUUAGUGGUGCUUCACUGAAAUUGUUUCUUUUCUCUCCCUGCCGAUUUUUCCAGAACUUUGUAGGUCACUAAAAAUCACAGAAGAAAUUAUUUUGGAGCUUGAUGGUAAUACAGGCCAUAGGAAACCUCCAAGGAAGGAAAGGAAGAAGUCACUAGCAGCUUAUGCUAGUAUCCAAUUUUUUUCACUUUUUUCUUCUCCAAUGUGUUUAAUUAUUUUUGUUGCCUUCACUUUUAAGUUUCAAUCUCCUUUUAUUCAAUUGGUUACUAUACUAAUCUUAGUACUCUUUUUUCGGGAAAAAAGAAAUAUCAAAAGUACUUAAAAUAGCUUUAGAUGUUUUUUCUCUUUAAAUGAAAAUUUAUUUUUUGGUUUUCUUGUGUUUUAUGUUAAAGAAGUGCCUUGCUUUUUCAGUUUCAUUACUAGGAAACUUGUAUUUCCUAGUUGAUUCAUAUUUUCAUAUUUCUUAACCUCUCUUAGACCAACCUACACUAGCUGGGGACCAGGAAAGAUCCGAAAUUAUUGAUGCUGAUGAUGAUCCUACAGCAUCAGAAUCCCUCGUGGAUGGGCAAAUUGGAAUGACUUCUUCCUUAACCAUGCAUGUGAAACGUAAGUGGAUCAUGUUGUUGAUUUCUCUUGCUUUUCCCAUUGUUUAAUGAUAUGAUUUUAUGAUGUAAUGCCUAUGUGAAAUGGGUCAUUAUUUAGUUAAUACAUGUCAGUUCUCCCUUUGCAGCAAGUGCUUCGUUAUUUGAGCUUGAUGCAUCAUUUCCCUUUUCUUUUAGGGAAUUCAACUUGUAUAGAUAUGGGAUAUCUGAUGGAUGGCUCAGGAAUUAGUCCCCAGAAUACUGAUCAAUCGGCCUCUCUAGUGCCACCUUCAACAAAACGCUUUAAAUUGUAUUCUCGUUGUCCUUUUUUUUUUCUUUUCAAAUAAUAGUAUAUUUGUCCUAAUGAUGUCUGCUUAUAGUUUAGCAUGAUAAAAUUGUCUUUUCUCAAAAACAAAUUUUACCUUAGCAUGCUUGUAAUUAUCUUCCUCUUCAUUACUGUUGACGCUACCCAAUUUGUGGUUUCCAGAAACCUGUUUACCUCUUCUUGUUCCUUUCCUUUGAGAUGAGAAUUGUAUUCUUUUUUUCUGUAGCUUAAACAUGGAGUAUAUGAGUGCAAAUGUUUGAGAAAGAUUUUAAGUGACUGAGCAUAUUGGCAUUUAGGGUGAUUCAUUUCUUUCUCUACAGUCUGCCAGCCUGGGGAUGAUUGAUUUUGUAAAAUGUUGUACUUGUGAAUUGUGAUAUUUUGUUAGCUUUUUUCCGGGAUCCUUAUGAAGUAGGUCACCUAUUGUUAUUCAAUUUUUUGUUAUUCUUUCUGAAUACCUUUUUGUUUUCUAGUGGAUGAUGCCUUCCUUUUCCUUUUUUGGUAGGCUAGCUGGUAACCGACUUCCCUUGCCGGAUGAUCCAAAAACAGCUUCUGGUGUGAAAAAGAUUCUAAAUUCACAUGACCUGUAUGCAUGUAAGGCUAUACUAAAUUUGUUGUUGUCAUUCUAUUUCCUGAAAAUUCUCAGUUGGACAAUAUCUCUGGCAUUUAGCUAAUGCAGAAAGGCUUUGGUUCACAAUAAGAGUUUUCGAUUUUUUGUUUGAGGAUCUUGGGAUGGCUUAACCAAAAUUCUGGAGCUGAGAUAUAUGCCUCUCAGAAAGGCUAUCCUAUUACCGAAUUAUUGCUCGUUGCUACUCAUGCAUUAAUGUUUAUCAUGUACAUUUGCAGCAAAGGACUCUCCAAUUAGAACAGUUUCCAGAAGUGAAACCCUUAACGUUAACUGUAAACUGACAAAAGGUAAGCCUUACUGCUUUCACUUAAGUAUAAUAGUUUCUGAAUCUUGUAAUUGACCAUGAACUUUCUUUUUGCCUGCCAUUAAAUCAGAUCCGCCUGCCCCUCUUAGUACCAAAAUGUAUUACUCUCAAAGAAAUAGUCGUCUUCGCUUAGCGCUUAGUCAUCAGUACUUCAUUACUUCAACCAAAGAACUUUGCAGUGAAAUGGCUAAUCGACAAGUGUCAAAGCAGAGCACGAUGAUGUUACGGGAUUCUUCUCAGGGGGUCUGUCCUCUUGAACAUGCAGAUAAUCUGCUUACCAAGAAGGUUUGCCCCUGCUAACUAUGCUACUUUAGGCUUUCCUCUUUCAUCUAGGUUGUAAUGAGUUUGAAUGUGAUUUGCUUAAGGAUGCAAAUGAAUUAAAGAGAGGUUUUUUUAAAUCAUCUAGCUGGAACCUUUUUCAUUAUUAAUCUUGAGUUUCCCUUACAACCUUGUUUUAAUUUAGUAGGAAAAACCAAAAAUAACAGAAAAAAGGGUCACCAUUUAACUUUUACAAGAUACCUAGUCAUUAAUUUCAUUUGUAUCUUCAAGAUCUCAUCCUUGGCUUUAAGUUAAAGUCCUCAACAAUCAGUGGAAUGCUAUUCAAAGUUCAACAGACGAAUAUCCACCAAGCAAACUAAAGAUUGAUGCUUAUUAUUUGAAGCAAUUAGUGCUUCUUUAAUCAUGAAGAAGCACAGCAUGGAUUUUUAAGAAUAAUGAAGUGCUUUUUGAUAUGCCUUAUGUGAUUCAUAUAUUUUAUGCAUCUAGAUGAACUGAAACGUCAAGGAUUGAGUGGCUUGUUUAUCAGUUAAAUAGAAUAAAUUUGUAUCUAUAUGGUCGAUUGCCUUAACUCUUUUGCUGCAUUGCAAUAUCUAGAAGUAUUCAUUGAGUUCAGAAAAACUUUGACUAAUUUCAUGUUCCUUGAAAUACAGCAAGAGUCUUCUCUGCAGAAACCCGAUCAAGUUCUUGCUCAAAUUUCAGAAUUUUGCUCGAGUAAAUCUGAGGUGUGCCUGCCAUCCAAUGACUUCUCAAAUCCGCAUCCUGUUGAUAUUAUUCCAAGGCCUCAGGCUGAUUCUGUUGGAUUGACCCGAAGCAAAUAUGUUCCUGAGCACCAUGCUUUUGCUGGAAACUCAGGUAGUCUACUAACAUAGUUGCGGUUUUGUUCCAAAGUUUUUGACUUCUUUCUUUACAAAUCUUCUUGUAGUUUGAUUUUCUGCAGACAAACUGCUGGGGCCUUUGCAGCCUCCUAAUGGAAGUGUUCCUGUUGUAUAGACAGUCCCAGGAUCAAUUUUUUGCUUGGCGAAGGUGUAUUUAGCCAUACAUGAGAUUUAGGAUCCAUUUUUUAAAACCUAGGAAAGCAUAUCUCUUCAAUUGUUCAUUCUAGUCUUCUGAAUUGCACUUUUGACUACUAGCUUCUAUUUAUAUUUCAUGGAAAUGAAGUAAAUAUCUUUCAAUUACUGUUGCUUGCCGGUCUAUUUGAGCUCCUUCAUGCCAUUUUUACCGUUUUAGGUGUUGUAGUCUAUUAUCCUCCUGCUUCAAAUAGUGUAUCCAUUUAUUCGUUCCGGAUCUCAAGCCUAAUUUCAAGAUCUGGAACUAGGUCUAAUUAUCCAACUUGGUCGAAACCAAACAGAAAUGUGAAAGAAAGGAUCUGAUUAUCUUGCGUAUUUCGCUCCUAAGAAGCCAUUUAGGUAAGGAAUAGAAGAUUUGGCCAUUAGCUUUCAAGAUAUGUUGUUGAUUGGUAUUGCAGAUAAUGAAGGAUGGUAGGACCGUUACAAGGUGGUCCGUGCCUUGGUUCAGUGACAAACUGAUGCAGGGUUUUCCUUACCACCAGCAAAUGCAAUUCACAAUGGUGGUUUUUGAUAGCAACAGAUUUGGACAGCCUAUUGUCUUUGUCCGAAAGGUUUGCUAAAUGUCUGUAACUUGUACUUUUGUGGAAACUUCCAGUUCACUGACAAGAAAAAAAAAAUUAAAAGAGAAAUCUAGUUUGUUGAUGAUGUGACCAGUUGCAAUCAGUUAUGUGGACUUUGUUGCUUUUAAAAAAAAAAAAAUUCUUAAGUAUCUGUGUUCGAAAUAGGAUUAUGGACAUGAGUUUUUAAAUAUAUGAAAAACUUGAAAAUAUUGAGUAUGUAUGUGUCAGAUACAUACUCGUAUGUAACCUAACCUGUCAGAAUAAAGUAGGAUAAUGACAAGCCGCAACAGGGAUUCUUUAGAAUUAGGAUCCGUGAUUUUUUGCCAUUUGUUCCCAAUUACUGUGACAAUGGAGAAGCAGGUCUCACAGGAAUCAGUUUUCACAUCUGUUCAUAUAUAUGGUGUUAGUGUGUAUGAUAUAUAUAUCGCACUAAAGGUCCCUUUAGGGCAAAUUUUUUAUUAGUUCCUAAAUUUCAUAAUGUCCUAAUUUGGUCCUUAAUAUUAUACCAAAUUGAUCCCUUCUGUUGGCAUUUCCAGCAUCGUUCCAUUAGUAGUCGGUGACGGUUUGCUAAAUAGCAGAAAAUGGUCCCUCUAUUAUGGAGAUCGAGAUCAGUUCAAAUUAGUUUGACUAUUAAAUUGAUAAAAUGAAUUAGAUAAUGUUGAAUUUUAACAGAAUUGACAUUUAUAGUUUUUAAAAAAGGUAUGAGUUUUUUUUUUUUUUUCAUUUUGAGUUCAACUUUGAACCAUGGUUGUUGGAAGUUGAUCGGUUGAUUGGACAAGUUGGAUUGAGAAUUGAAUGGGGUAAUGAUCCAGAAAGAGGUUGAAUUGGGUUUGGUUGGUUCUCAAACCGGUAUAGAUUGAAUAGGUUUUUAAUAUAUAUUUUUAUGAAUAUUUUAAUGAUUUAUUUAAUCGAAUUAGUUGAAUCGACGAAUCGGCCUAAUCAUUGGUCUGGUUUUAAAAUUUUUUUUUGAACUAAACAUUUAAUUUGUAUAUUUAUAAAAGUUUUAAAAACAUUAACUUUGUAAAAUGGUAAGCAUAUAUUGUAUUAAAAGUUGUCUAAUUUGAUUCUUUUUGUUGGUGUAAGUGUUGAAUUGAUUUAUUUAAUGGAACUAGUACUUAUAAUAGAGGUGAAUGAUUGACCAGUUAGGGACUAAUUCAAUAGGAUACCUGUAUUGAAAUGCUUUGAAGUUGGGGAUCAAUAUAGAAAUUGCUCCAAAGUUUAGGAAGCUUUAAUGGAAUUAGUAACAAUUGGAAAGGAAACGUCACUUUCUUAUUUAAAUUUUGGUAGCAUUCACACCUUAUGGCACACGGAUAAUUGGUUGUAGCCUGUAGUUAUCAUUUACGAAAAAGGAGAUGUCCAACUGUUGAACUUUCAGGUUUGAUGGUUUCUCAUUUUUCUUAUUGUUUUUAAACAUUAAAUAUACUUCUUGAUUUCUCUUUUUCUGAACUAAAAGAGAUUUUUUUUUUAAUAUUUGCUUAUUACCAUGGAAGUGUUGAAAAUUCUUAAAAGUUGCCAUAGUGUUUUUGAAGAGAAUAAUUAGUUAAGGGUUUGCAUGUAGGUAGGAUUACAGAGAAUGUAUUAUGAUAUGAAAUUAAAUCUAUCGAGAACUUCACUUGAAUUCGAGUUUUGAUAAUGAAUUGAAUCUUCACUCAAUAUGAUCUAUAAAUAUUUUUACAAGUGUCAUACGGGCAAAAAAUAAAAAGGAUGAUUGAUACGUUAGUUUUGAAAGCAAAAACCACCACCAUUAGUGGUGGUUGGACAGAAUGUUCCUAAAAAAAUGCUUCAAAUUCUCCACCAAUUUUUCCCCUUCGAAUUAACACCCAAAUUGACCACGUUUAUGAAAAUUAUAGGAAAUAUAUAAACAAAAGGUUUAAUUUUAUAUUUAUUUCUAAUACGAAUUUUGUUAAACAUCCAUUUUUUAAGGUUUUUAAAAUUAAAUUGGUGAUCAGGUCACCAGUUUGUUAGUUCCCUCGGUUUGUUCGGUUCGAUUAAAUAAAUAAAGAAAAAAUCAUAAAAAUAAAAAUAUUAAAAAUUUAGUUCAACCGUUUCAAUAUCCUUUUUCGAACCAAUAUCCAACUGAUUCUCGAUCCAUCUACUCCAAUCCUUUUUGAUAAUUUGAAAGCCAAAAUCUUAAAGUUAUAAGGGUUAAGCUAUAUAGAGAAAGGAUAAGGAUUAAGAGAUAAAUAAUUGAGGGGAUUCAAUGAAUGGGUCCAAUCAAUUUUAGAUAAGCCAAUUGAUUUUUUUAAUUCAUUGGCUACUUUAUAGUUCAACCUAUUAUUUAUAUUAAUUUUUUAAAUAUUUUAAUUUUAAUUUAUAUAUUUUUAAAAAAAUUGAUAUGAAUUCAAAUUAAAUAACCCUAUUUAUUGGGUAUCUAGAUUCAUUUAUAAUAUUAAAUAGAGGGGUUAUUAAAAUUUUUAUCAGACAUAUGUUUGACAUGAAUUCAAACUGUGUGACCCUUAUUUCUCCGUCUCUAUGUAUCAUUACAUGAAUUGAUAUCCAAAUUAGAUAACAUUAUUUUUCGGAUAUAAAAAAGCAUUAAAUAUCCGAAUUUAGUAAACCAAAAUAAUUUAAAAAAUAGAUAAUGGAUCCGAAAUUCGAAUCUAUAAUUUGCUAUUGGUAAAACUAGGGGUGAUUUCCAAUACUAAUUUUCAAAUUUAUUUUAUAUUAUUUGAUAAAAUUUUAAAGGCUUACUAUUUUAAAGAUACAUCAUAAAAAUUAAAAUUAAUUAUAUAUUAAAUAAAAGAAUAGCGGAUUAAACUUAUAUUCGUUGAAAUUGCAGAAUAUAUAAAUCUAAAUAUUAUCUAAAACAAAUCAUUAUUAAUUGCAAGAAGCUUUUGAAAGUAGAAAAGGAAGGGAAUCCUAAGAUGGUUAUACCAAAGUAUCUAAUUUAAAAUCAUAAUAUAUUGACUAACGACAAUAAGAUGGUGUUUAUACCAAGGAAUCAUCAUUUAUAUUCCACUAUCACUUUAAGUACACAAGAAUACGACCCACUAAAACAAUGUGACACCUUGGUUAAAUUUUGUUUCAACCCCUUGUACUUCUAAAACUUUAGAAUUUAGUCCCUAUAUUUUUAUUUUCAGGAAUUUAGUCCAUCUACUUUUCAUAUUUCACUGUUUACAUUGAUGUUUUUUUAAUUUAUAAAUGUCACACAAAUAAGUUUAACAAUUAAUAUUGGACUUAAAUUUUGAAAUUUGAAAAGUAGAAUGAUUAAAUUCUUAGAAAUAAAAAUAUAGGGACUAAAUUUCGGAUUUGCAAAAUGUAUGGAGACUUAUGGCAUGUUUUAACCAAAGGAUAAGGCCAAAAUAGGAAAUUUCUUGUUUCAAAUUGAAGAAUUAUUAAUGUUUCUACAUCAGUUUCAUUUUCAUGUAUUUAUAAUUGUAAGAACCAAAGCAAACAUUCCAUCCAAAGAAAAAAAAAGAACCCAAAGCAAAAAUAUCUGAAAAUAUCCACAGAUUUCAAAGCUUUGCUUGUUUAUACAUAAUUAAUUAAAAGCAAUAUAAAUAAUAUAAUGUAUAUAUCUAUAUAAAAUAAAUAUUUACAUAUAGAAAAUUAGUAAAUAAAUAAUAUUUUAAAUAAAACGAAUCAACUCUUAACCUAGUGGCAAGAGUAUUAUUGUGUUGUAGUCGUGAGAGCCCUUUUCCGCCUCAAAUAUAAAAAAAUAUAUUUUAAAUAUAAUUAUAAUUUAUUCAAAUGCUAGGAAUAUCAUACAAACUAGAUUAUCGUGUAGAGCGAACAAUUUAUAUAAAAAAUUUAAAAGAAAAUAUGAUAAUCAAAUAUCAUUUUGGUUAAAAUGAUAAAAUUAAGAUAUUAAAGGUUAUAAUAUUUUGAGUUCAAAUUCUAUCGUAUGCAAAUAAUUUUUUUAAAUUUUAUAUGAAAAGAUAAAAAUGUCCUCAAAAUAACACCUAAGACACCUUGUCACGACAAUCUUAAAUAUAGAUAGAAAAAUAAUUUAAACAUGCAAAAAUCAUAAUAAAUUAUGAAAUAAUAAUACAAAAAUAAAAAAAUAUAAUAAUAUUAAAAUAUAAAUUUACUACAACUCCACCCGUAUUCAUUAUUAAAUAAUAUUUUUAACCUCCAAUUUUGAAUAUAAUUAUGGAAGUUUAGAAAUGAAAAGAAAAAUCCAAUUUUAUAUAAUUAUUAUCAGUGUUAAAGUCUAACAACUUUUCAAAUUUUCCUUGAAAAUCCAAAUCCCAAACUCAAAUCUUCAAAGAAAGAAAAACCCAACAAAUUUUCUCAUUUUCUUAAAACCGUUUUCCUCAGAUUUUUCAUUUCCAAACGUAAAACAACUGAGCAUUAUCGUCUUUUAAACUUUUGAGUCUUUUCUUAACGUGUAUUGAUGACAAUACAGUGCAUUGCUAGGCUCAGAUCACGCCGGGUGGUUCAAGACCAACUGGAAGGUUCAGACACGGCCUCGGCAAAGGUGGCGACUGGUGGUGGUGGUAGUGUUUGUUGUUGGGCCAACUUGCCUCAUGAAUUGUUAAGGGAUGUUUUGUUAAGGAUUGAAGAGUCUGAAACUCGUUGGCCUCAAAGGAGAAACGUAGUCGCCUGUGCUGGCGUUUGCAGGAGCUGGAGAUUCGCCAUUAAAGAGAUCGUUCAAGUUCCUGAAAUUUCAGGGAAAUUAACUUUUCCUAUCUCUGUUAAACAGGUUCUUAACAUUUCCCCCCUUCCUUGUCAUUAAACAUUGUUCUUUCAAUUUUUGUUUUUGAUUUUAGAGCUAAGAUUUGAAUGAAAUGAUUCGUAAUUCAAUUCCAAUUCACUGUUUGGAAAUAGUGUCGUUUUCACUUUUCUUGAUUGAAUUAUCCUUAUCCUUAUCCUUAUCCACAUACCACCGUGCAUAUUUUUUCAAGUACUUCAAGGAAAAUGAAAAUCGGGUUUGCAUAGAUUAUUAGCUUAACUAAUCAUUAGUUAUGUUACACACUGUUGUUUGAGUUGAACAUGAAUAUGUUCAAUUUCUUUCUCGAGAUUUUCAUAUAUUUGGAGAGUCUUUGAAGGUUAAUAUUUCCGAAUCAAUGUCCGUAUAUGUAUUGAAUAUCGGUGUUUCAAGAAAUAUGAAGAGUCAAAGUAACAUAGAUUAUAUAGAAUGCUCUUCUCUCUUUCUCCCCACAACUGCUACCACUCGUCCCCAAGCCUCCAUCAAAGCCUUUUUCUCAAGUACGAACGAGGCUGCAACUCGCAGGCAGGGGACCGGGACUUGAAUCCUGAACCUAUUGAACUCCACUUGUUAAUGGUGGAUGUAUGAACUAACUGGUUUAAGCCUCAGGGUUCAACAACAAAGCUACAUUCUUCGUUUCCUAGUUCUACGAAUCGAAGCAUUUCAACUUUAAGAUUUUCAUGUUAAUCAUUCUAUCUUCCGUCUUGUGUUGGAUCAUUUGUAGCCUGGUCCGAAGGAAUGUCUCCUCCAAUGCUUUAUAAAACGGAACCAAUCGACUCGAACUUAUCACCUUUACCUCAGUUUAACUAACGGUGAGAUCUUUUUCCUUCUUUUAUGCCCGUUAAACCGAAGCUGCCGGUGUAUUUGAAAUUGACAAAUCGAUUAGGGACAGUACAUCAUAUAUCUUUGUUUUGAUCUGUAACACUUUGAAAUUUUCUCUUCGUUUCUCUAUGGCAGCGCUAACUGAUGAUGGGAAGUUCCUUCUUGCUGCUUGCAAGUGUAGGCGUCCUACUUGCACGGAUUAUAUCAUUUCACUACGGGCAGAGGAUAUUUCGAAGGGGAGCAGUACUUAUGUUGGGAAACUAAGGUAAGCAGUGAGCUAUAAGGAACGAGAUUAUACUGAAUUGAUUCGUUUUUUAACUUACCUGCAAUCUUGAGUCUUAUCUUUUACUUUCAUUUUGGCAAAGAUCAAAUUUUUUAGGAACCAAGUUCAGUGUCUUUGAUGGACAGUCUAGUCAUGCCGGUGCAAAGAUGACUAAAAGUCGAUCGUCUAGGCUAGCAUAUUCGAAACAAGUUACGCCUAGAGUCCCUUUCAGAAACUAUCCCACGGCACACAUUUCAUAUGAAUUGAAUAUGUUAGGUUCACGGUAAGAUUCGGGGUUAUUUUUCGCAAGGAUCCGAUAUUUUCUUAUUCUCACCGUCAUAUAGAGAUCCGAGAAUGCCGGUUCCUUGAGUCUUAUUCGGAUCUGUUUUAUAUGAUUUCCAGGGGUCCAAGGAGAAUGCAGUGUAUUAUGGAUACCAUCCCGACAACUUCAAUAAGACCAGGAGGUGUUGCUCCGACCCCGGCUGAGUUUUCUGUCAACAAUGUCAACGUGUUUCCAUCAAUUCCGAGCUUCCACUCGAAGUCAGCAAGCAUGAAGAAUUUUCUAUCUGGACCUUUGACCCAUCAAAAGGAUGGUGGUGCACUGGUGUUGAGAAAUAAAUCUCCAAGGUGGCACGAGCAACUCCAGUGUUGGUGCUUGAAUUUCCAUGGACGAGUGACGGUUGCUUCAGUGAAGAACUUUCAACUAGUGGCUUCUCCCGAAAACGGACCGGCUGGGCCAGAGCAUGAGAAGAUUAUCCUCCAGUUCGGAAAAGUUGGGAAGGACUUAUUCACCAUGGAUUACGGGUAUCCGAUUUCUGCAUUCCAAGCAUUUGCUAUCUGCCUCAGCAGCUUCGACACGAAGAUUGCUUGUGAAUAAAGGACAUGAUAAACGAUCGACAAUCGUAAACAUGUUAGCAUUUAAUCAUAGCCACUAUGGGUUUUUUUUCAUAUUCUUUACCUAUUGUUUUUAUUACAUUUCAAUACAUGGAAUUGCUUGAAGAGGUUGAUCAGUAGAUCUGGCAAUUCGUAUAUUUGCGUCGUGUUCGUGUAACUACUAUUAUCGAAACAAAUGAAUAGUACUAACUUUUUUCUUUUUCCAAUUUUGUCCAGGAUCAGGAAUAUGUACGAAGAUUGAUGCAAAUACAAUCUUAGGGGGCAAAAGUGGAAAGAAGGUACAUGAUAUUUCAGCUUAGAUUGAGUUAUUGUAAAUAAUUAACUCUUGAAUGAGUAUCUUCCUUUGCUUUGUUUACGUUUCAUCUAAUAAUUUAAUAACAAUUCGGUUUGGUUUAAUUUAAAAAAGUACAAUAAAUUUGCAAUUCAUACAGUAUUUUGAUUUCAAUGAAAAUAUCAUUUGUAACUUUUAAGGACGUAUAGGUUUUCUAAAAAGGUAUAAAGUUAAAUUUAGUUCUUAAUGUUUGCAAUUUAGUCUUUUUUAGUUAAAUUAAAUUUAUAAUCUUUUUAAAAGAGGUAAACUUGAUCAUUAACUUUUAAAAAGUGUUCAAUUAUUAUUAUUUAAUGAAAAUAAUAAUUAAAAAGUUAAAUUUUUAAACAUGUACUUCAUGUUUUCUUUAAUAUUUAUGAGCUUUAUGUAAUUUUUUUAUUUAUUUUUUAUUUGUUGACAUGAUAUAUAAUACAAAUGGUAUUAUGUCAACAUAACAUGUAGAUUAUCACGUCAACAUUGUUAAAAAAUUAAUGCUUUAUUUAGCAUUUCUAUUUGAAAAGUUAAUAAUCAAACAUUAUACCUUUUAAAAAUAUCUAUAACAUUUUAAGGGUUUUCCUUUUACUAAUUUAAAAAUAAAAUAUUUAUUCUAUAUUAUAAAAAAGUUGAAAUUAGAUAUGAAUAAAUUACGUUUUAAUUCAAAUCAGUGUAUACUAUGAACUAAAGUCAAUAGUGAAUAAUAGGUACCUUUCUUUUUCUUUUAUGAAAAAUGAGGCCUUUCUACCAAUGUUAAUCAAAAGUACCUUACUAGUUCAUGAUAUGUAUGAUAUAAUCCUUCAAAUAUAUUAAAAAUAAUUUCUAAAAAAUAAAACGUCUCGAGGUUUUCAAAGCUGAUUUGGUAGCUACAGGUUAGAUUGAAUAAAUUGUUAAAAAAAUGGAAAAACCUGCUUCAACCCACUCCAUCAUCGGUUCAAUCGAUCGAACUAGUUCACAAGUCACCGAUCUGGCUACAAAUUGAAUAUAUACAUGUUGAACUCGCAUCUAUAUUCCAUAUUACACUCGAAUACAAAUAACACUGAAUACAAAAAAUAACUGAAAUUGAUGGGUAAGAAAUUCAAUGAUCAGUAACCAACUGCUUUUAAACAGAGAGUUCAGUUUUGGAGAUAAGAAUGCCAUCACUAUCAGCAUAUAGCCACUCCCCAUCAUGGAUCAAUGUUCCGGCGAUCUGAACCGGGACAUGUUUAUCACCGACAGCCUUUUUAUUUGAUUUCAACGGAUUUGAUCCCAGUGCUCGAACCCCGAUAUCACAUGCAUUAAUCUCAUCGACAUCUCUAAUACAGCCGUUCAUAAUGAUACCGGCCCAUGCCAUGUCAUGAGCCCACUGCGCCAAAUUCCCUCCAACUAAAGCACAUCUUGUGCUUCCCCCACCAUCUAUAACCAAAACUCUUCCAUUGCCUUCGGUUUCAAGAAGCUGCCGGACCAAUACGUUGUCCUCGAACACCUUAACGGUUACGAUGGGCCCUGAAAAUGCAAGACGCCGGCCAUAGAUCUUGAAGAUUGGAUCAAGAGCACGAAGGUCACCAUUCACCAGAAGUGCUGCGUUUGAAUCACAAACAUCCGCAGUUGCAACGGCAGCCCUAUGUCUUCCUGCAGGGAAAUCUAAUUCAACAGUAAUAAAGAUUUCUUGCCGAAGAAGACAGUAGUAGAGAUGUCUAUAAAAAAAAUUAUGUUAGUCUGACUCUUCAUUUUUCUUAAAGUACUCGUGUCCCGAACUAGUAUCUGACUCAUAUCCCGACAUUGGUACGAUCUGAGUCUCUAAUGACCCUCUAAAUACAUGAAAAAAGGUUCAAAAAAUGUA